UAAACAGAAGUGAGUUUUCACGUUUGACUUCGGAUCAAAAAAAGGUUAAAACCCUGUUUAA
rnacentral:tRNA from 1 species